GUAAUAGCUCACUGGUCGAGUCGGCCUGCGCGGAAGAUGUAACGGGGCUAAACUAUGCACCGAAGCUGCGGCAGCGAUAUGUAAAUAUUGUUGGGUAGGGGAGCGUUCUGUAAGCCUGUGAAGGUGUGCUGUGAGGCAUGCUGGAGGUAUCAGAAGUGCGAAUGCUGACAUAAGUAACGAUAAUGCGGGUGAAAAACCCGCACGCCGGAAGACC
rnacentral:rRNA from 1 species